UACGUAGGGGGCGAGCGUUGUCCGGAUUUAUUGGGCGUAAAGAGCUCGUAGGCGGUUCGGUAAGUCGGAUGUGAAAUCUCCACGCUCAACGUGGAGGGGCCAUUCGAUACUGCCGUGACUCGAGUCCGGUAGGGGAGUGUGGAAUUCCCGGUGUAGCGGUGAAAUGCGCAGAGAUCGGGAGGAACACCCGUAGCGAAGGCGGCACUCUGGGCCGGAACUGACGCUGAGGAGCGAAAGCGUGGGGAGCGAACAGG
rnacentral:rRNA from 1 species